ensembl:snRNA U6 U6 spliceosomal RNA
GUGCUCGCUUCAGCAGCACAUAUACUAAAAUUGGAACGAUACAGAGCAGAUAAGCAUGGCCCCUGCACAAGGAUGAUGCGCAAAUUCCUGAAGCGUUCCAUAUUUUC